GAUAAGGACUAGCCUUUUUAGGUUGAUUGGUUCUUGAUCUGGAAUCAAGAAAGGAUCUAUAUAAAGAAAUAUUUUGGGUUCUGAUCAUGCAGUGAAAAAUAAAUUUUAAAAUUUUUAAAAUAAAUAUAUCAAUAGCUUUAACAAUUUAAACCAUCGAACCGAAACCCAAACCCUAGAAUCACUUUGUCGAUGUCGAUCAAAACAAAAACAAGCAUGCAAAGAGAUAGAAUUUUAUACUUUCAUAAAAAAUAAUAUGGUAUGAUGGUGAUCUCUAUGAGACUCCAAAGUAGAAGCCCUCCAAUGGUGAUCCACAUAGAAGUUGGCCAGGGUCCUUCCUAAUCGGUGCGCUGUCACAACCUUGUCUUUUCAAGAAUACUGCCGACUUUGAACUCGAAGUACGAUCACACAAAAGUCCAGUCACCUUCAAUUUUACUAUCAGAAUCACACCAAGAAGACCCUCUUCAAAAAUCUCACAACGUAAGACUUGAUUUUGUGCUCCAACACAUGAAAAAAUCAAACCUUAAGGCUAACUAGCAACACUUGCUAAUUCUCUCACUACCCUUCUUACAACUUUUUCCUCUUAAUUUUUUCUUCUCUUUUUCUUAGAUUUUUUCCAAAUUUUUUUUUCUCUUUUACAUGCUAAUUAGCUAUGAUUUUCAUCCAAAAUUUAGUGCCUGGUCCAUAUGGGAUGCCCCAUAUAAAAUAGGUGAGAAGGGACGUGAGAAAGGACCAAGGGGCGCCAACUUUUGGUGCUCCACCUUCUCACAUGGUGAAAUAAAUCAUCAUAAUUUAUUUUGACAUAAGAGAGCCUUCACAUAGAAAGACUCCUUCUCUUCUGCACCCCAUAAAUUUUUGAUAAAAAAUCAGCAUGAAAUAAAGAGAGUUCUAGAUGAGAAAUGAUGAGAUAAGAUAAGGUAAGAGCCUUCAUUAAGAAGGACUGUUCAUAUCUCAAUGCUAAUUAAGAGGGGGUGGCAUUAAUAUUUUGGUGUGAGACCUGAAGGACACAGAGGACUCCUUUCACAUUUGAAAUAAUUCUAAGUUGGAUAAGAACCCAAUUAAAAUAGAUCCAAUCUCAUUAGGUCAAAGACAACUGGUCUAGUUUAGCUCAAACACGUUGAACUGAACCUAUUUAGGAACUUGGAUUAAUACAAUAUGCUAGCAUAUUAAAUUGACCUUAAAAUUUAUAUUAAAUUUUAAUUAAAUUAGACUAAGAUC
rnacentral:lncRNA from 1 species